GGGGAUGUAGCUCAGUUGGGAGAGCGCCGCAUUUGCAAGGCGGCAGUCACGGGUUCCAGUCCCGUCAUCUCCA
rnacentral:tRNA from 1 species